rnacentral:rRNA from 1 species
GACGAACGCUGGCGGCGUGCUUAACACAUGCAAGUCGAACGAAGAGCGAUGGAAGCUUGCUUCUAUCAAUCUUAGUGGCGAACGGGUGAGUAACGCGUAAUCAACCUGCCCUUCAGAGGGGGACAACAGUUGGAAACGACUGCUAAUACCGCAUACGAUCUGACCUCGGCAUCGAGGAUAGAUGAAAGGUGGCCUCUACAUGUAAGCUAUCACUGAAGGAGGGGAUUGCGUCUGAUUAGCUAGUUGGAGGGGUAACGGCCCACCAAGGCGAUGAUCAGUAGCCGGUCUGAGAGGAUGAACGGCCACAUUGGGACGGAGACACGGCCCAGACUCCUACGGGAGGCAGCAGUGGGGAAUCUUCCGCAAUGGACGAAAGUCUGACGGAGCAACGCCGCGUGAGUGAUGACGGCCUUCGGGUUGUAAAGCUCUGUUAAUCGGGACGAAAGGCCUUUUUGCGAAUAGGGAGAAGGAUUGACGGUACCGGAAUAGAAAGCCACGGCUAACUACGUG